CCCAAUCCCUGCGUGCGCUCCGCUCCCAAUCCUGGUCGCGGGGUUGCUGCGCCAGAGCCCACACCUGCACCAACCCUAGCCGCCACACCUCUCCUUCCUCCCUCGCUCGAUAGCGCCGCACCCCCUCCCUCCUUGAUGCUCGUCCGGAUAGCCGCCGGCCACCACAUCCCUUCUCCCCCUUCCUCCUCCUUCCUCCUUCUCGCUGGCACCAACGAGGGGGCCUCCCGCAUGGACGGCCGGGUCUUCGAACCGGGGGUAGAGGAGCAGGGGAGGGCCAAGAAGCCGGCGGUGGGGGUGGAGCAGCCAGGAGGGCCAAGAAGCCCGCGGUGGGUGUGGAGCAGCUAGGAGGGCCAAGAAGCCGGUGGUGGGGGUAGAGGAGCAGGGGAGGGCCAAGAAAGGCGGCCGGGAGCACACCACCGUAGGCGUCAAGGGAGCCGUGGACAAGCCGCCAGGAGGAGAAAGCUCCCAGUUUGAGGAGGAGACUACGGCACAGGUGGUGUUUUGAAAUCUAGAUUGAUUUGGUAUUGUAUGUGGUGUGGUGUGCCCUUGCCAGGAAUAUCUAAAGUGUGUCAUGACACAAUCAAUUGUAGAGAUACAAACCAGAUGUAAACAAAGAGGAUAUGGAUUCAGUACGGCCACGAGUGAAGGAAUGUUGUUCCAAUUUGGAUCUGGGAGAAUGUUUUCUCACUGUGGUUCAGGUUAAACUGUUGUUCUACUAUUCCUACUCAGCCUCCUAAUGUUCUAUGUCUUGAUGUGCCUUCUUCCAGCUUCUCUAUUGGUUUUCUCUUCACACUGAUGAAAAUUCCUAGGGAUUUGAUUGAUGGAGGCAUCGCUAUUUGGCGCUGGAUUAUCCAUUUUUGCAGCACCAGCAAUGUUGUUUUUGUUUGGAAUGGCCAGUUCUCAAUUUCUAAAUCAGCUAUACUAUACUUCUUGUCAGGUUACAUUAUCUUGCUUCGUUUCAGUCUAUAUGUAGCACAAAAAUACUCGGUGACAUGGUUGGUUUGUAUGUUACACUAAUGAACACCACCAUAAGGAAAAGGGAAUUGCACUUCUUUGUUUAUAUUUGGUCUGUUCCUAUUCGGUGACAUAC